UAAAUACUCCCUCCGUUCCAUAAUUCUUGUCUCAAAUUUGCCCAAAAAUGGAUGUAUCUAUUCCUAAAAAAGCGUCCAGAUUCAUGUAAUAUUUUGACAAGAAUUAUGGGAUGUAGGGAGUAGUAU
rnacentral:pre_miRNA from 1 species